rnacentral:rRNA from 1 species
ACUCAAAGGAAUUGACGGGGGCCCGCACAAGCGGUGGAGCAUGUGGUUUAAUUCGACGCAACGCGAAGAACCUUACCAAGAUUUGACAUCCCUCUGACCGGAUCUUAAUCGAUCCUUAUCUUCGGAACAGAGGAGACAGGUGGUGCAUGGUUGUCGUCAGCUCGUGUCGUGAGAUGUUGGGUUAAGUCCCGCAACGAGCGCAACCCUUACAUCUAGUUGCCAUCAUUAAGUUGGGCACUCUAGAAGGACUGCCGGUGACAAACCGGAGGAAGGUGGGGAUGACGUCAAAUCAUCAUGCCCCUUAUGUCUUGGGCUACACACGUGCUACAAUGGGCAGUACAAAGGGCAGCGAAGCCGCGAGGUGAAGCAAAUCCCAUAAAGCUGUUCUCAGUUCGGAUUGCAGGCUGCAACUCGCCUGCAUGAAGUCGGAAUCGCUAGUAAUCGCAGGUCAGCAUACUGCGGUGAAUACGUUCCCGGGCCUUGUACACACCGCCCGU